UACGGAGGGGGGCUAGCGUUGUUCGGAAUUACUGGGCGUAAAGCGCGCGUAGGCGGCUAUUUAAGUCAGGGGUGAAAGCCCGGAGCUCAACUCCGGAACUGCCUUUGAGACUGGAUAGCUAGAAUCUUGGAGAGGCGAGUGGAAUUCCGAGUGUAGAGGUGAAAUUUGUAGAUAUCAGGAGGAACACCAAUGGCGAAGGCAGCUCGCUGGAACGGUACUGACGCUGAGGAGCGAAAGCGUGGGGAGCAAACAGG
rnacentral:rRNA from 1 species